rfam:Ictidomys tridecemlineatus contig010578, whole genome shotgun sequence.
UGUGUAGCUCAGUGGUAGACCACCUGCCUAAUAUGCAGGAUGCCCUGAGUUUGAUCCCCAGCUCUACAA